UUCUAGGCCAUGAAAGACCCCCGAAGGGAGACCCUCCCUCAGACACUUAAGUCCCGGGACAGCCGCGUACCCAAGAAGACACUGAGACCA
rnacentral:pre_miRNA from 7 species